rnacentral:lncRNA from 1 species
CUGUGUCAAAGACUGUGAACUCAUACAGUAUGUGUCCCACUGUGUCUGGGUCAUUUCACUUUGUGUACUGUCCUCAAGAUCCCACAUUGCUGGAGAAGGGGUCAGAAUUUCCCUCUUUCUUAAGGCUGAAUAGCAGAAGAGAAGAUAACAUCUUUUGUCCAUCUGUUUAUCCCUCAGUGGGCAUUGGGUUGAUUCCAUAUUUAAGCUGCAAGACUUUCUUUUGCCACUGUUGGACCUUAUCAACAAGAUCAUGUUUGUUAUUCAUGCUGUGCUUGAAGCUUUAUUUUGCAUUUUAAUGUCUUACAUGAUUCUGAUGACCCCAUUCCAAGCAGGAGUAAAUGCAGGUUGAUUUGUGUUGUCAGCUGAGAGUGAGUGUCCACCUAGUUUUGCAGCCCUGGAUGUUCAGAGUUGAAUGAGCACCCAGCAGCCUUCCAAGUGACCAUGAGUUCCUUGGCAGCUCUCUCUCAGGUCCUGGCUGUCAGGAAGCAGGUCAUGUUGCUGUGGAAAACCAAUUGCAUAGAUGCUCCGCUUAUUCGAUUUCCCCAUGAUGUCUUUAAGCAUCAGAGCUGCUUGGGUUCUCUCAUAGCAAAUCAGAAGUUCACACUCUCCCUUGUAGUGGACAGCCUUCAAGUACACCCACAUGCCACAUGAUAAUGUUUUGGUCAGUGAUGGUCCACAUAUAUGAUAUUGAUCUCACACGAUAGUAUCGCCUGUUGAUAUAGGAGCCAACUUAGCCUCUGUAAGUAUACUCUGUGACGCCCCCCAAAGACAGAUUUCCUAUGGGCACAUUUUUCAGUCCUUAUCCUGAACGUUAAAUGAUGCAUGAGUGUGUGAGAAGAUUCUGUUCAAAUUAAAAGUCCCCAUAAUUUUGGCCCAAAUUCAACUCAUAAUUUGCAUUUCCUAUCUCUGCUGGCCACCUGGUCUAGACAUGCUGCAUGCAGUUAGGCAGAUUUCAUCCCCUUUUUUUUUUUUUUUUACAUUUUUUAUACUAAUUAGUUACACGUGAUAGUAGAAUACAUUUUACAUAAAUGGAGUAUAAAUUCUCUUUCUUCUGGUUGUACAUGAGGUAGAGUUACACUGGUCAUAUAUCUGCAUAUAGGGUAAUAAUGUCCCAUUCAUUCUACUGUCAGUCCUACCCUCAUGACCCUUCCCCUUCCUUCACUCCUCUCUGUCUAGUCCAAAAUACCUCUAUUCUCCACACACCCCCUUAUUGGGAAUUAGCAUCUGCAUAUCAGAGAAAACAUUUGACCUUUGGUUCUUUGGGAUUGGCUUAUUUCACUUAGCAUAAUAUUCUUCAGCUCCAUCCAUUUACCAGCAAAUGCCAUAAUUUCAUUCUUUUUAAGGCUGAGUGAUAUUCCAUGUAUAUAUACCACGGUUUCUUUAUCCAUUCAUCUGUUGAAGAGCAACUAUGUUGGUUCCAUAGUUUAGCUAUUGUGAGUUGAGCUGCUAUAAACAUUAAUGUGUCUGCGUCACUGUAGUAUGCGGAUUUUCCUUUGGCUAUAAACCUAGGAGUGGGAUGACUGGGUCAAAUGGUGGUUCCAUUCCAAGUUUUCCGAGGUAUCUCCUGACUGCUUUUUAGAGUGGUUCCACCAAUUUUCAGUCCCACCAGCAAUGUAUGAGUUUCCCCAUAUCCUUGCCAACCUUUAUUGUUGCUUGUGUUCUUUGAUAGCAGGCACAGUCCAUAUUAAUAUAUGUGAUUACCUUGUUUUAAAAUGGAGUAAUACGUGCAGAUUUUGUUUGAAAUGUACCUUCACCUCUACAACUUUUUUCCUUCUAUGGAUAUAGUCUGAUGCAACAAUAAUGAUAGUUAUACUGGGGAGAUAACAGAGUGAAUCAUUGUGCUUUGCAAAUACCACUUUUAGCAUAAGGUGACAUGUAGGAUUACUACAGUACAGUUUGUUGGGCAGUCCUCACAGAUUCUAAUUAAAUGGGUGUCGUAUUUCUCAGUACUGAAACACUCAGGGUCACUCCUGAGUUUACUGGGCUGCAGGAAAUUGAAUUCAGGGCCUCUCACAUGCUAGGCAAGAAUUCUACUUUUGAGCUACAACCCUAGCUCCAUUAUACAGCUUUAUAGUGAGGAAACUGAGGCUCAGCAGGGGCACAUUUAAAGUCAAGGUGGCUGUAGGGAGUCCUGGGCAAGCAGGGAGGGAAUCAUAUGUAGAGAAAAGAUCAUACAGAAGAUCCAAUUCUGCUCCAUUUUCAUGUCCACACCUGUGAGGUAGCCAGCUGGGUCCAAGAAAGGCUCUGGGACAUGAGGCACCAGGACUCCCUGGCUUGCACUCUGUCCCCUCUGCCAUGCUACAGCUGGGAACGGGAGAAGACCCACCACCACGUGCACAAGGACAAGGGUGACCCAGGGAAGGAUGAGGAGCCUGCAGAUGCUGAUGUGGAUGAGGGCGAGUCUGUGGAGCCGCACGAAGUGGUUCUGGCCAGAGAGGAAGUCGG